rnacentral:sRNA from 1 species
ACAGACACCAUGGCCGAGCCUCUGAAGGAGGAAGACGGCGAGGACGGCUCUGCGGAGCCCCCCGGGCCCGUGAAGGCCGAACCCGCCCACACCGCUGCCUCUGUAGCGGCCAAGAACCUGGCCCUGCUUAAAGCCCGCUCCUUCGAUGUGACCUUUGACGUGGGCGACGAGUACGAGAUCAUCGAGACCAUAGGCAACGGGGCCUAUGGAGUGGUGUCCUCCGCCCGCCGCCGCCUCACCGGCCAGCAGGUGGCCAUCAAGAAGAUCCCUAAUGCUUUCGAUGUGGUGACCAAUGCCAAGCGGACCCUCAGGGAGCUGAAGAUCCUCAAGCACUUUAAACACGACAACAUCAUCGCCAUCAAGGACAUCCUGAGGCCCACCGUGCCCUAUGGCGAAUUCAAAUCUGUCUACGUGGUCCUGGACCUGAUGGAAAGCGACCUGCACCAGAUUAUCCACUCCUCACAGCCCCUCACACUGGAACACGUGCGCUACUUCCUGUACCAACUGCUGCGGGGCCUGAAGUACAUGCACUCGGCUCAGGUCAUCCACCGUGACCUCAAGCCCUCCAACCUAUUGGUGAAUGAGAACUGUGAGCUCAAGAUUGGUGACUUUGGUAUGGCUCGUGGCCUGUGCACCUCGCCCGCUGAACAUCAGUACUUCAUGACUGAGUAUGUGGCCACGCGCUGGUACCGUGCGCCCGAGCUCAUGCUCUCUUUGCAUGAGUAUACACAGGCUAUUGACCUCUGGUCUGUGGGCUGCAUCUUUGGUGAGAUGCUGGCCCGGCGCCAGCUCUUCCCAGGCAAAAACUACGUACACCAGCUACAGCUCAUCAUGAUGGUGCUGGGUACCCCAUCACCAGCCGUGAUUCAGGCUGUGGGGGCUGAGAGGGUGCGGGCCUAUAUCCAGAGCUUGCCACCACGCCAGCCUGUGCCCUGGGAGACAGUGUACCCAGGUGCCGACCGCCAGGCCCUAUCACUGCUGGGUCGCAUGCUGCGUUUUGAGCCCAGCGCCCGCAUCUCAGCAGCUGCUGCCCUUCGCCACCCUUUCCUGGCCAAGUACCAUGAUCCUGAUGAUGAGCCUGACUGUGCCCCGCCCUUUGACUUUGCCUUUGACCGCGAAGCCCUCACUCGGGAGCGCAUUAAGGAGGCCAUUGUGGCUGAAAUUGAGGACUUCCAUGCAAGGCGUGAGGGCAUCCGCCAACAGAUCCGCUUCCAGCCUUCUCUACAGCCUGUGGCUAGUGAGCCUGGCUGUCCAGAUGUUGAAAUGCCCAGUCCCUGGGCUCCCAGUGGGGACUGUGCCAUGGAGUCUCCACCACCAGCCCCGCCACCGUGCCCCGGCCCUGCACCUGACACCAUUGAUCUGACCCUGCAGCCACCUCCACCAGUCAGUGAGCCUGCCCCACCAAAGAAAGAGGGUGCCAUCUCAGACAAUACUAAGGCUGCCCUUAAAGCUGCCCUGCUCAAGUCUUUGAGGAGCCGGCUCAGAGGUGCCUUGUGGGCAGGUCGGGUGGGCAGAGGGGAGACUUGGACUUGGACAAGGCUUCAGGCUUUUACCUUCUCCCCUGCCCAACUUCCCCGCAGAUGGCCCCAGUGCACCCCUGGAGGCUCCUGAGCCUCGGAAGCCGGUGACAGCCCAGGAGCGCCAGCGGGAGCGGGAGGAGAAGCGGCGGAGGCGGCAAGAACGAGCCAAGGAGCGGGAGAAACGGCGGCAGGAGCGGGAGCGAAAGGAACGGGGGGCUGGGGCCUCUGGGGGCCCCUCCACUGACCCCUUGGCUGGACUAGUGCUCAGUGACAAUGACAGAAGCCUGUUGGAACGCUGGACUCGAAUGGCCCGGCCCGCAGCCCCAGCCCCCACCUCUGUGCCGGCCCCUGCCCCAGCGCCAACGCCAACCCCAACCCCAGUCCAACCUACCAGUCCUCUUCCUGGCCCUGUAGCCCAGCCCACUGGCCCGCAACCACAACCUGCGGGCUCUACCUCUGGCCCUGUACCCCAGCCUGCCUGCCCACCCCUUGGCCCUGCACCCCACCCCACUGGCCCUCCUGGGCCCAUCCCUGUCCCCGUGCCACCCCAGAUUGCCACCUCCACCAGCCUCCUGGCUGCCCAGUCACUUGUGCCACCCCCUGGGCUGCCUGGCUCCAGCACCCCAGGGAUUUUGCCUUACUUCCCACCUGGCCUGCCACCCCCAGACGCCGGGGGAGCCCCUCAGUCUUCCAUGUCAGAGUCACCUGAUGUCAACCUUGUGACCCAACAGCUAUCUAAGUCACAGGUGGAGGACCCCCUGCCCCCUGUGUUCUCAGGCACACCAAAGGGCAGUGGGGCUGGCUACGGUGUUGGCUUUGACCUGGAGGAAUUCUUAAACCAGUCUUUCGACAUGGGCGUGGCUGAUGGGCCACAGGAUGGCCAGGCAGAUUCAGCCUCUCUCUCAGCCUCCCUGCUUGCUGACUGGCUCGAAGGCCAUGGCAUGAACCCUGCCGAUAUUGAGUCCCUGCAGCGUGAGAUCCAGAUGGACUCCCCAAUGCUGCUGGCUGACCUGCCUGACCUCCAGGACCCCUGAGGCCCACAGCCUGUGCCUUGCUGCCACAGUAGACCUAGUUCCAGGAUCCAUGGGAGCAUUCUCAAAGGCUUUAGCCCUGGACCCAGCAGGUGAGGCUCGGCUUGGAUUAUUCUGCAGGUUCAUCUCAGACCCACCUUUCAGCCUUAAGCAGCCACCUGAGCCACCACCGAGCCAUGGCAGGAUCGGGAGACCCCAACUCCCCCUGAACAAUCCUUUUCAGUAUUAUAUUUUUAUUAUUAUUAUGUUAUUAUUACACUGUCUUUUUGCCAUCAAAAUGAGGCCUGUGAAAUACAAGGUUCCCUUCUGCACCUGA